UUGUGCAGUAUUUCUGUGAAGUGACCGAACAGAACUUUUCAGUGAAGUGGAUUCCUGCAAAUCUCAGCGAAACAACUGUAUCGGCAGAGCUUGAUGAUAAGCUGAACAUGACCAUGAAAAAUGUCACAAAGGAGACCAAGGUAAGAUUUAACUAAAAGAUAGUAAGAUAGUAAGCUAAAACUGUCUAUAUUUUAAUAUA
ensembl:lncRNA